rnacentral:snRNA from 1 species
AGCUUUGCGCAGUGGCAGUAUCGUAGCCAAUGAGGUUUAUCCGAGGCGCGAUUAUUGCUAAUUGAAAAGAAAUAUGAGUUACACACUAAAAAUUAAAAUAUUAUUGAAAAACAAAUCA